CCUACGGUGUGCAGCAGUGAGGAAUAUUGGUCAAUGGGCUUACGCCGGAACCAGCCAAGUCGCGUGAGGGAAGACUGCCCUAUGGGUUGUAAACCUCUUUUGUCAGGGAGCAAUUGGCGCUACGUGUAGCGUUAUCGAGAGUACCUGAAGAAAAAGCAUCGGCUAACUCCGUGCCAGCAGCCGCGGUAAUACGGAGGAUGCGAGCGUUAUCCGGAUUUAUUGGGUUUAAAGGGUGCGUAGGCGGAAUGCACAGUCAGCGGUAAAAUCGCGGGGCUCAACCUCGCUCCGCCGUUGAAACUGGCGUUCUUGAGGGGGCGAGAAGUAUGCGGAAUGCGUGGUGUAGCGGUGAAAUGCAUAGAUAUCGCGCAGAACUCCGAUUGCGAAGGCAGCGUACCGGCGCCAGACUGACGCUGAGGCACGAAAGCGUGGGGAUCGAACAGGAUUAGAUACCCGUGUAGUC
rnacentral:rRNA from 1 species